AUUGAACGCUGGCGGCAGGCCUAACACAUGCAAGUAGAACGAGUGGCGGACGGGUGAGCAAUGUCUGGGAAACUGCCCGAGGGAGGGGGAUAACCACUGGAAACGGUAGCAAAUACCGCAUACCAUCGGAUGUGCCCAGAGGGGAUUAGCGAGUAGGCGGGGUAACGGCUCACCUAGGCGACGAUCCCGAGCUGUUCUGAGAGGAUGACCAGCCACACUGGGACUGAGACACGGUCCAGACUCCUACGGGAGGCAGCAGUGGGGAAUAUUGCACAAUGGGCGCAAGCCUGAUGCAGCCAUGCCGCGUGUAUGAAGAAGGCCUUCGGGUUGUAAAGUACUUUCAGCGAGGAGGCGUUACUCGCAGAAGAAGCACCGGCUAACUCCGUGCCAGCAGCCGCGGUAAUAC
rnacentral:rRNA from 1 species